UUUCUGAGAAAUACUCAUCUGUGCCUAUUACACUAAGAACAAACCAGCCAGCCAAUAAUUAUAUAAAUUGCAAUUAGAAAUAUCUACCAUGAAGUGGAAUUACGGAACUAUCCCUGACAGCAUGAUUUGGAAGGAAUGGAUUUGCACAGGUUUAUCAGUGAUGGCACAGAUUGGCUGACACUGCAUUUAUCAUACAUGCUGAUGGAACUGCUUCUUGGGACUGGACUGGUAUUUCCUUAAAAGUAAGAAGAAUGGGCAAGAGAUUUGCAAACUGGAAAAAGAACUGCAUUUGAUGAUGGAAGUGUUUACUGCUAACUGCUUGGUCAGAUGCUUCACCCACCAUUUCCUUUCUAUUUCAGUCAAGAAAAAGCCCAUGAGAACUAGCUUUCUUAUUGACCCAUUUUACUUUCCACUUUUUAUUGCGAAACUUAACCUCCUCCCUGAGCUUUACUGCCUCUGCUCCAAGGUGAUCAGUGCUGCCCCUGGUAAAAGCCUUGGGUACAGGUUUAGCAAAUAAAGAAGCCACAGAAGAGGAUAUGACAUAUCAGGACUAUAUGCAGACAUCUGUGAAAGUUUUUCUAUUUGCAGUCAGGUUAAGGAAGGUAAUCUAACAGAAGAAUGCAUUCAGAAAGACCAAUGUGCCUCUUGUGGAUAUAAAAACUGGUAGUCAACUAUCACUGAUAAUCUCUUUUCUCAUCUAUUUACUUUUGAGUAGCAAAAUAUCUUAAAACAUUUGCUCAGAAAACUCACAUGAUAUCUCCCUUUCUUCUGUCAAACUCUUUUAGUUAUGUUCCUAGUUAGGGGUCAAAAUCUAUAUCUCAAUAUAAUGUGUUUGUAUCUGUAUAUCACAAAAUCAGA